rnacentral:lncRNA from 1 species
GGUGACGGCCCCCGACGUCAAGUCGAUGCAGAUCCACCACGAGGCGCGCCACCCCAAGCUCCCCUUCGACCCGGACAAGAUCAACAACCUGCACGGCUCCACCGCCGCCGCCGCGCCCGCCGCAGCGGCCGCCGUCGCGUCCUCCUCCAAGCCCAAGCCCGGCGUCCGCGGCAGCCUCAAGAAGACGGGGUAAUCUAAACCCCCUCCUCUCACACCCUCUACAGUCCGAUCUGCCUUGGUCGUCGCCUGCAUCUGCUGUCUUAAGUUUACUAUAUAUACUGCCGCUGAUGCUGCUGCUGCUGCUGCUCUAAAAUACUGAUGCUGUUGCUGCUGCUGCUGCUGAUGCGUGUGGUGUGUCGUGUGAUGGACGCGUGAAUUUUUCUUCCCCCUGUAUACCCUGAGGCCGUGUCCUCGUUGCCAUGUUUAAUUACCUGUUGCUACUCUUAAAGAUGCUGGUAAAUUGUUUGCUGAUAUUAAUGUCUAGUGGCGCGCAAGCGAUCUGAAAGAUCUGCUGUCGAUCCAGUUCCUCCAAUUGGCCGCUAAAGUGCAUGAGUCGGGGAUUUGCGCUUGUGUUUUCCUAGUGUCCUCGGUGCGCCAUAAGAAGUGUUUUUCCUCGUCGAUUCUUUGCUAUUGAUGAAGUUUGUCCCUUUUUUAGCAAGGGGACGACAUAGAUUUCAUACACAAAUCCUUUAUUUAGAAUGCUCGCCCCUCCUUAUUCUUUGUUCCAUGCUGCUCCUUAUGCCAUGCUCAUUAUGCAUCAUCGAUCGAUCGGUCAGAAUUGGUCUCUUGGGAGUAUGGUUCAUACUCCUGGUGGUACCACUGGCAGCCUGGCUGCCCUCAGUUUGAUGAUGAAUGAAUGUGUCAUUGCAGCGAUGAACAGAAAUGAGGCCUCCAAAGCUUCAAGCGCCUCUUCGCAGUUGGUUAUGACUACUAUGUCAGUUUCAUCGGUCGUUUUAAGAUAUUUGGUUGUCUUGUAAUCGGAUAUAUUAUGCGCUCCAGAACAUCUGGGAUGAGUUAAACC